rnacentral:misc_RNA from 1 species
GAUGAAGAACGUAGCGAAAUGCGAUACGUAGUGUGAAUUGCAGAAUUCAGUGAAUCAUCGAAUCUUUGAACGCACAUUGCACUUCUCGGUAUUCCGGGAGGUAUGCCUGUUCGAGCGUCAUUUGUACCCUCAAGCUCUGCUUGGUGUUGGGUGUUUGUUCCGCCUCUGUGUGUGAACUCGCCUCAAAACAAUUGGCAGCCGGCGUACUUGUUUCGGAGCGCAGCACAUUUUGCGAUCCAGAUCAACGUACAGCGGCAUCCAAGAAGCCUUAUUUAACGCUCUUGACCUCGGAUCAGGUAGGGAUACCCGCUGAACUUAAGCAUAUCAAUAAGCGGAGGA